rnacentral:miRNA from 1 species
UCAAAUUAAAGAUAUUACAUUGGUGCAAAAGUAAUUGCGGUAUUUCCCAUUAAAAGUAAUGGUGAACCGAAUUACUUGUGCACCAGUCUAAUAUGUCAAA